CAACAUUUAAGGUAUCCUAAACCCAUUCACAAUUUAACAUCUUCAGUAUAUUGGCAUCAUGUUGAAAAAGUUUGGUGUGAACUACUCUUCUUGGAGGAGUAUGAAUUCAUUUACAGUCUGAUUUUAUCAUAAUUCCACAAUAACAUUUCUGAGUUCUGUAUCAAUCAGUGUUGUUGUUUGUUUAUUUUUAUUUUUUUAUUUUUCAUAGGAAGAUAACUGACCCUUUACUCUCCUUUUUAACAAAUGUGCUUAUAAACCAAGGACAAGCUAUUUAUAGCUGUAUUUAUAAACUGCUUACUACUGACUAUUAAUAUUGGGACAAGGCUUUAUAAAGCAUGAACUGACUAUUUACUAAUGAGUGCAGUUAUUAUAAAGUGUUACCAAUGCAUUUACUAAUGUUAACAAAUUAGACAUUAUUUUACAGUGUUAUUAAAUCCUUUAAUGACUUAUAAGCAUUUGUGAAAGCAUCUUAGUCUUGAUCUGUGAGCUGAACAGUUUUACGGUUACAUCCAUGAGAUUUUAAAAAUGUAGAUACAUGUCAUGUUACAGGAUGGAAUAGGUCAGUAUCAAAUGAGUUGAAAUUAUUAUUUGCAGCACAAAUAAGUAUUUUUAGAAUUUUGUUUUUAAUUCCUGAAACUGUCAGAAAAGGAUAAGGCCUAAGAGAUUUCUUAAGCUGUAAUGAAAACAGCAAUGUUAGCAACAACAACAAAAAAUAACAAUUUAAAAUACUUUUUUUUUUUUCUGGUGAUUAAAGAGAUGAUUAAGUCUCUCUCUCUCUCUCUUUCUCUCUCUCAUUGUGUCUGCCACUCAGCUCAUGCCCAUCCCCCACUCACACACACACACACACUCAGUCAGCACGCAUACAUUCCUCAAACAGAGGGACAGAGUGAGUUGAGAUGUCUGACAGUUUUUUUAUUUUCUUUUAAUCAUACAGUGUUGUAAAGUCAUGAAACUAUGCAUAUGUCCUCAGAAUGAUUUGAUCUCUGUAUGAAUUUUUUGAAGUGUUUGGAAGCUGCAAUUUAAAAAUACAAGACAAUUAAUGAUUCCCUUUUUACUGUCAUUUCAAAAAAUCACCACGACAAAACCGUUCAAGCUAACCAAAAUCUGUUCGCAAUUUAAGUUCCUCGAUGUUUUUUCUUCAUGUAGACCUAGUUUGGUGUGUAUAGUGUACUUCCCCUGUGAGGAGUAUUCAUUAAUUCACAACUGUAAAAUCUCAAAAAUACACAUUCAAAUCAAAAUAGCCGACUUCCUGUUGAUCGUAGCUUAUGACUGUGAAUUAGAAAGUUGUCCGUCUUGAUAAGAACAAUUUAUGUACCAAGUUUGGUGUCUGUAGCUAAAACUAACCCCCCCACUUUUGACAAAAGGUGGCGCUAUAGAGUGCCUCAUUCACGCCCUUUUAAAAGCUUUUGCCAUUGUCUAGCUAUCACUAAUACUGAUAUGUGUUUUGAGUUUCAUGUAAAUCUGAGCUUGUUGUCUGCCUCAAACUCACCAUAACAGAACAUUCAAGUUUGACACGUUGCCAUAGCAACACUAUAUCAGAUAUCAAUAUCCCCACAACAGAUUUUCAUCGGCCGUGUUUUGUCAUUAUUCUGAUGAAGUUUUAAGUAAAUCGAGUAAAAAUAAGAUGCUGAAUUCAAAGCAUUUGGAAAAUGACACACUUCCUGCUGCCAGUUGGUGGUGCUAUAACGUUGACUCUUAAUAGUCACAUAUAUACAAUCGGUAUCAUACAACGAACAAACCCAUGAAGUUUGAUCAAAUUCAGGAAAUGUAUGUGGAUGUUAUUAGACAUUUCCUGUUUCUCAUUUCUCGCCAUAAGUUCCACGCCUCGCCACGGGCAAACCGUUCGAGAUAUCAAAAAUCCCCUCGCAAUUUUUCAUCCUCAAUGUCUUGAGAUCAUGUUCACCGAGUUUCGUGGCGAACGGGUUGAAAACCUCAGAGGAGUAUUUCAAAUUCCAGAGCAUGCUUUUUUUAAACAGCCCUGAAUAGCUGACUUCCUGUUGGGCGGAGCCUAUGACAUAAAGUGUGAAAGUUGUUCGGCUCAAUGAGAUCUAUAAGUGUACUGAGUUUCAUAUAAAUACAUGCAAGUGUGUGUGAGCUAUGGUUCAAGAUUUCUGACUGUGUUCCAGGGGGCGCUGUAGAGCCCCUGUGCCACGCCCGGGUCCCAGCCUCUGCGGCGUCCUGAUGGCCGCAGAUUCCAAUGUGUGUGCCAAUUUUCAAGAGUUUUUGAGCAUGUUAAGGCCCCCAAAAACCCCCGGAAGGUUUAAUAAAAAAUAAAAAUAAUAAUAAUAAUAAUAACAAGAAUAAUCCUUAGAAGAACAAUAGGGCUCUUCGCCCCUUCGGGCUUGAGCCCUAAUUAAAGCUGCAAGCAGCGAUGAACGGGCCCUCGCACCCGGGCUCACUGCCAUCGUGUGGCUUUAGUAAAAAGGUGAACGUUGAGAAAUAUGCAUUUAAACUCAUAAAUAUAAGUGCAAUAUAUCAAAGUUUAUUUCAUAUGUGUGCCAAUCUUCCUGUUGCCAGCAGGUGGCGCUAUCGUUAUAAUGGAAUAUUGGCCUUCAGAUGUGUUCAAGCCAGGACUCUCAUCACACAUGUGAAGUUUGGGCAAGAUCGGACAUUUUAUGCAUGAGUUAUAACAUCUUUUAUUCCCAUGGCGAGACAUCGAACUUCGUCAUGGCGACAUGGACAUGCCUUUUAACAAAAACUCAAGAUCUUCACAACUAAACAUCACACAGGUCUUUAGAUUAGACUGACCACAAAAAAGACAUUGAUGUCAUAAAAUUUCUAGGAGUAGUUUGUCUCAGUGUUAAAUAUGUCACUUCCAGUUGCCAAUAGGUGGCGCUAUGACUAUAACUGAAUAUUGGCAUGUAGAUCUGUUCAGGUGAAGAGUCUUAUCAAAAAUGUGAAGUUUGGGGCAGAUUGGACAUUGUAUGUGUGAGUUAUAGCACCAUCAUUUUUCAUGGCGAAUCAUCGAAAUUUGUCAGGCCGCCAUGGACACGCCCUUUAACGAAACCUCAAUUCCUUCGCAAUUUAACAUCGCAAAGGGCUUUAGAUUACACUGACCAAGUUUGGUGUUGAUCUGAAUAAAUCUCUAGGAGGAGUUCGUUAAAAUACAACCCCUGAAAAUGACAAAAACAACACCAAUUUUGCAGGGAAAAUUAAAAAUAACCGACUUCCUGUUGGGAUUCGGAUUUCGUACCAGGAGACUUUUUUGUAGCUAUUGGUGUGUUACAUAUGUUAACCGAUUUUCGUACAUGUACAUGACAUGUAGCUCGAGGCGCACUCCAUUGAAAAUGUAUAGGUGGCGCUAUCGAGCCAUUUUGCCACACCCAAUGGAAUAUUAGCCUCCAGAUGUGUUCAGGUCAGGACUCUUAUCAAACAUUUGAAGUUUGGGCAAGAUCUGAUAUUUUAUGACUGAGUUACAACAACUUCUACUCCCAUGGCGAGACAUCGAACUUUGACAUGGCGCCAUGGACACGCCCUUUAACGAAAACUCAAGAUCUUCUCAAUUUAACAUCUUACAGGCCUUUAGAUUAGACUGACGACAAAAAAGACAUUGAUGUCAAAAAUUUCUAGGAGUAGUUUGUCGCAGCGUAAAAUAUGUCACUUCCUGUUGCCAAUAGGUGGCGCUAUGACUAUAACUGAAUAUGGUCGUGUCAAACUGUUCAGGACAGGAGUCUCAUCAAACAUGUGAAGUUUGGGGCAGAUUGGUCAUUGUAUGUCUGAGUUAUAGCAACUUCCUGUUUCAUGGCGAAUCAUCGAAAUUCGCCAGGCCGCCACACACAGGCCCUUCAACGAAAACUCAAAAGCUUCGCAAUUUAACAUCGCAAAGGCCUUUAGAUUAGGCAUACCAAAUUUGGUGUUGAUCUGAAUUAAUCUCUAGGAGGAGUUCGUUAAAAUACAACGCAUGGAAAUGACAAAAAUGACACAAAAUUUGCUCAUAAUAUUAGAAAUAACUGACUUCCUGUCUGGUUUCGGAUUUUGCUCCAAGAGACUUUUUUGUAGGUAUUGGAGAGUUACAUGUGUAUACCGAUUUUCAUACAUGUACAUGAAACGUAGCUCGAGGCGCACACCGUUGAACGUGUAUAGGUGGCGCUGUUGAGCCAUUUUGGCACACCCACUUCUGAAACCCAUAUCAGACGUAAAUUUUCGCCAGUUCUGAGGUGUGUGCAAAGUUUCAUGACUUUUCGAGCAUGUUUAGGCCCUCAAAAAUGCGAUUCAUCUUAGAGAAGAAGAAUAAUAAUAAUAAUAAUAAUAAUUAAAGCUGCAAGCAGCGAUGAACGGGCCCUCGCACCCGGGCUCACCGCCAUCGUGUGGCUUUAGUAAAAAGGUGAACUUUGAGAAAUAUGCAUUUAAACUCAUAAAUAUAAGUGCAAUAUAUCAAAGUUUAUUCCAUAUGUGUGCCAAUCUUCCUGUUGCCAGCAGGUGGCGCUAUCGUUAUAAUGGAGUAUUGGCCUUCAGAUGUGUUCAAGCCAGGACCCUUAUCACACAUGUGAAGUUUGGGCAAGAUCGGACAUUUUAUGCCUGAGUUAUAACAUCUUUUAUUCCCAUGGCGAGACAUCGAACUUCGUCAUGGCGACAUGGACAUGCCUUUUAACAAAAAUUCAAGAUCUUCACAACUAAACAUCACACAGGUCUUUAGAUUAGACUGACCACAAAAAAGACAUUGAUGUCAUAAAAUUUCUAGGAGUAGUUUGUCACAGUGUAAAAUAUGUCACUUCCAGUUGCCAAUAGGUGGCGCUAUGACUAUAACUGAAUAUUGGCAUGUAGAUCUUUUCAGGUGAAGAGUCUUAACAAAAAUGUAAAGUUUGGGGCGGAUUGGACAUUGUAUGUAUGAGUUAUAGCACCAUCAUUUUUCACGGCGAAUCAUCGAAAUUUGUCAGGCCGCCAUGGACACGCCCUUUAACGAAACCUCAAUUCCUUCGCAAUUUAAAAUGGCAAAGGGCUUUAGAUUACACUGACCAAGUUUGGUGUUGAUCUGAAUAAAUCUCUAGGAGGAGUUCGUUAAAAUACAACCCCUGAAAAUGACAAAAACAACACCAAUUUUGCAGGGAAAAUUAAAAAUAACCGACUUCCUGUUGGGAUUCGGAUUUCGUACCAAGAGACUUUUUUGUAGCUAUUGGUGUGUUACAUAUGUUUACCGAUUUUCGUACAUGUAUAUGACAUGUAGCUCGAGGCGCACUCCAUUGAAAAUGUAUAGGUGGCGCUAUCGAGCCAUUUUGCCACACCCAAUGGAAUAUUAGCCUCCAGAUGUGUUCAGGUCAGUACUCUUAUCAAACAUUUGAAGUUUGGGCAAGAUCUGAUAUUUUAUGACUGAGUUACAGCAACUUCUACUCCCAUGGCGAGACAUCGAACUUUGACAUGGCGCCAUGGACACGCCCUUUAACGAAAACUCAAGAUCUUCUCAAUUUAACAUCGUACAGGCCUUUAGAUUAGACUGACGACAAAAAAGACAUUGAUGUCAAAAAUUUCUAGGAGUAGUUUGUCGCAGCGUAAAAUAUGUCACUUCCUGUUGCCAAUAGGUGGCGCUAUGACUAUAACUGAAUAUUGUCGUGUCAAACUGUUCAGGACAGGAGUCUCAUCCAACAUGUGAAGUUUGGGGCAGAUUGGUCAUUGUAUGUCUGAGUUAUAGGAACUUCCUGUUUCAUGGCGAAUCAUCGAAAUUCACCAGGCCGCCACACACAGGCCCUUCAACGAAAACUCAAAAGCUUCGCAAUUUAACAUCGCAAAGGCCUUUAGAUUAGGCAUACCAAAUUUGGUGUUGAUCUGAAUUAAUCUCUAGGAGGAGUUCGUUAAAAUACAACGCAUGGAAAUGACAAAAAUGACACAAAAUUUGCUCAUAAUAUUAGAAAUAACCGACUUCCUGUUGGGUUUCGGAUUUUGCUCCAAGAGACUUUUUUGUAGGUAUUGGAGAGUUACAUGUGUAUACCGAUUUUCAUACAUGUACGUGAAACGUAGCUCGAGGCGCACACCGUUGAACGUGUAUAGGUGGCGCUGUUGAGCCAUUUUGGCACACCCACUUCUGAAACCCAUAUCAGACGUAAAUUUUCGCCAGUUCUGAGGUGUGUGCAAAGUUUCAUGACUUUUCGAGCAUGUUUAGGCCCUCAAAAAUGCGAUUCAUCUUAGAGAAGAAGAAUAAUAAUAAUAAUAAUAAUAAUAAUAAACGGAGCAAUUCCAAGAGGGUCCUCACACCAUCGGUGCUCGGGCCCUAAUUAAAGCUGCAAGCAGCGAUGAACGGGCCCUCGCACCCGGGCUCACCGGCAGUGAGUGGCCUUAGUAAAUUGGUGAACGGUGAGAAAUAUGCAUUCAAACUCAUAAAUAUAAGUGGAAAAUAUCAACAUUUAUUCCACAUGUGCCAAUCUUCCUGGUGCCAGCAGGUGGUGCUAUCAUUAUAAUGGAAUAUGGCCCUUCAAAUGUGUUCCGGGCAGGACUCCCAUCGAACAUGUGAAGUUUGGGGAAGAUCGAACAAAUUAUGCCUGAGUUACAACAACUUCUCUUGCUGUGGCGAGACAUCAAAAUUUGUCAUGGCGCCAUGGACACGCCCUUUAACAAAAACUCAAGAUCUCCACAAGUUAAAAUUGCACAGGCCUUUAGAUUAGACUGAAUACAAAAAAUACUUUAAUCUCAAAAAAAUUCUAGGAGUAGUUUGUCGCAGCCUAAAACAUGUCACUUCCUGUUGCCAGCAGGUGGCGCUAUGACUAUCACUGAAAAUGGGCAUGUAGAUCUGUUAAGGGCAGAAGUCUUAUCUAACAUGUGAAGUUUGGGGCAGAUUGGACAUUGUAUGUCUGAGUUACAGCAACUUCCUUUUUCAUGGCGAAACAUCGAAAUUUGGCAGGCCACCAUGGACACGCCCUUUAACGAAACCUCAAGAUCUUCGCAAUUUAACAUCACAAAGGCCUUUAGAUUACACUGACCAAGUUUGGUGUUGAUCUGAAUAAAUCUCUAGGAGGAGUUCGUUAAAGUACAACCCCUGAAAAUGGCAAAAACAACGCCAAUUUUGCAGAGAAAAUUCUAAAUAACCGACUUCCUGUUGGGAUUCGGAUUUCGUACCAAGAUACUUUUUUGUAGGUAUUGGUGUGUUACAUGUGUGUACCGAUUUUUGUACAUGUACGUGAAACAUAGCUCGAGGCACACUCCGUUGAAAGUGUAUAGGUGGCGCUAUAGAGCCAUUUUGCCAUACCCGAUGGAAUAUUGGCCUUCAGAUGUGUUCAGGCCAGGACUCUUAUCACACAUGUGAAGUUUGGGGAAGAUCGGACAUUUUAUGCCUGAGUUAUAACAUCUUUUAUUCCCAUGGCGAGACAUCGAACUUUGCCAUGGCGCCGUGGACACGCCUUUUAACGAAAACUCAAGAUCUUCACAACUGAACAUCGCACAGGCCUUUAGAUUAGACUGACCACAAAAAAGACAUUGAUGUCAAAAAAUUUCUAGGAGUAGUUCAUCACAGCGUAAAAUAUGUCACUUCCUGUUGCCAAUAGGUGGCGCUAUGACUAUAACUGAAUAUGGGCAUGUCAAUCUGUUCAGGUUUGGAGUCACAUCAAACAUGUGAAGUUUGGGGCUGAUUGGACAUUGUAUGUCUGAGUUAUAGCUACUUCAUUUUUCAUGGCGAAUCAUCAAAAUUCGCCAGGCCGCCACGGACACGCCCUUCAACGAAAACUCAAGAUCUUCGCAAUUUAACAUCUCAAUGGCCUUUAGAUUAGGCAUACCAAAUUUGGUGUUGAUCUGAAUUAAUCUCUAGGAGGAGUUCGUUAAAAUACAAUGCAUGGAAAUGGCAAAAAUGACAAAAAAUUUGCUCAUAAUAUUAAAAAUAACCAACUUCCUGUUGGGUUUAGAAUUUUGCUCCAAGAGUCUUUUUUGUAGGUCUUGGUGUCUUACAUGUGUUUACCGAUUUUCAGACAUGUGCGUGAAACGUAGCUCGAGGCGCACACCGCUGAACAUGUAUAGGUGGCGCUGUCGAGCCAUUUUGCCACGCCCACUUCUGAAACCCAUAUCAGACGUAAAUUUUCACCAGUUCGGAGGUGUGUGCAAAUUUUCCUGACUUUUUGAGUAUGUUUAGGCCUUCAAAAACGCGAUUCAUUGGGGAGAAGAAAAAUAAUAAUAAUAAUAAUAAACAGAGCAGAUACAAUAGGGUCCUCACACCUUCGGUGCUCGGGCCCUAAUAAUAAUAAUAAUAAUAAACAAAGCAGAUACAAGAGGGUCCUCGCACCUCGGUGCUCGGGCCCUAAUAAUAAACAAAGCAGAUACAAGAGGGUCCUCGCACCUCGGUGCUCGGGCCCUAAUAAUAAUAAUAAUAAUAAUAAUAAUAAUAAUAAUAAACGGAGCAAUUCCAAGAGGGUCCUCACACCAUCGGUGCUCGGGCCCUAAUAAUAAUAAUAAUAAUAAACGGAGCAAUUCCAAGAGGGUCCUCACACCAUCGGUGCUUGGGCCCUAAUAAUAAUAAUAAACGGAGCAAUUCCAAGAGGGUCCUCACACCAUCGGUGCUCGGGCCCUAAUUAAAGCUGCAAGCAGCGAUGAACGGGCCCUCGCACCCGGGCUCACCGCCAUCGUGUGGCUUUAGUAAAAUGGUGAACGUUGAGAAAUAUGCAUUUAAUGUCCUAAAUAUAAGUGGAAUAUAUCAAAGUAUAUCCCAUAUAUGUGCCAAUCUUACCGUUGCCAGCAGGUGGCGCUAUCAUUAUAAUGGAAUAUUGGCCUUCAGAUGUGUUCAGGCCAGGACUCUUAUCAAACAUGUGAAGUUUGGGGAAGAUUGAUAAUUUUAAGCUUGAGUUACAAUAACUUCUCUUGCUGUGGCAAGACAUCAAAUUUUGUCAUGGCGCCAUGGAAACGCCCUUCAACAAAAACUCAAGAUCUCCACAAGUUAACAUUGCACAGGCCUUUAGAUUAGACUGACCACAAAAUAUAUGUUAAUCUAAAAAAAAUUAUGGGAGUAGUUUGUCGCAGCGUAAAACAUGUCACUUCCUGUUGCCAAUAGGUGGCGCUAUGACUAUAACUGAAUGUGGGCAUGUAGAUCUGUUAAGGGCAGAAGUUUUAUCUAACAUGUGAAGUUUGGGGCAGAUUAGACAUUGUAUGUCUGAGUUCCAGCAACUUCAUUUUUCAUGGCGAAACAUCGAAAUUUGUCAGGCCACCAUGGACACGCCCUUUAACGAAAUCUAAAGAUCUUCGCAAUUUAACAUCGCAAAGGGCUUAAGAUUACACUGACCAGGUUUGGUGUUGAUCUGAAUAAAUCUCUAGGAGGAGUUCGUUAAAGUACAACCCCUGAAAAUGGCAAAAACAACGCCAAUAUUGCAGAGAAAAUUCUAAAUAACCGACUUCCUGUUGGGAUUCGGAUUUCGUACCAAGAUACAUUUUUGUAGGUAUUGGUGUGUUACAUGUAUAUACCGAUUUUUGUACAUGUACGUGAAACAUAGCUCGAGGCGCACUCUGUUGAAAGUGUAUAGGUGGCGCUAUCGAGCCAUUUUGCCACACCUGAUGGAAUUUUGGCCUUCAGAUGUGUUCAGGCCAGGACUCUUAUCACACAUGUGAAGUUUGGGGAAGAUCGGACAUUUUAUGCCUGAGUUAUAACAUCUUUUAUUCCCAUGGCGAGACAUCGAACUUCGUGACGGCGCCAUGGACACGCCUUUUAACGAAAACUCAAGAUCUUCACAACUUAACAUCGCACAGGGCUUUAGAUUAGACUGACCACAAAAAAUACAUUGAUGUCAUGAAAUUUCUAGGAGUAUUUCAUCGCAGUGUAAAAUAUGUCACUUCCUGUUGCCAAUAGGUGGCGCUAUGACUAUAACUGAAUAUGGGCAUGUCAAUCUGUUCAGGUCAGGAGUCUCAUCAAACAUGUGAAGUUUGGGGCAGAUUGGUCAUUGUAUGUCUGAGUUAUAGCAACUUCCUGUUUCAUGGCGAAUCAUCGAAAUUCGCCAGGCCGCCAAGGACACGCCCAUUAACGAAAACUCAAAAGCUUCGCAAUUUAACAUCGCAAAGGCCUUCAGAAUAGGCAUACCAAAUUUGGUGUUGAUCUGAAUGAAUCUCUAGGAGGAGUUUGUUAAAAUACAACGCAUGGAAAUGACAAAAAUGACACAAAAUUUGCUUAUAAUAUUAGUAAUAACCGACUUCCUGUUGGGUUUCGGAUUUUGCUCCAAGAUACUUUUUUGUAGGUAUUGGAGAGUUACAUGUGUAUACCGAUUUUCAUACAUGUACAUGAAACGUAGCUCGAGGCGCACACCGUUGAACGUGUAUAGGUGGCGCUGUUGAGCCAUUUUGCCACACCCACUUCUGAAACCCAUAUCAGACGUAAAUUUUCGCCAGUUCUGAGGUGUGUGCAAAGUUUCAUGACUUUUCGAGCAUGUUUAGGCCCUCAAAAAUGCGAUUCAUUUUGGAGAAUGAUAAUAAUAAUAAUAAUAAUAAUAAUAAUAAUAAUAAUAAUAAUAAUAAUAAUAAU